rnacentral:rRNA from 1 species
UACGUAGGGGGCUAGCGUUGUCCGGAAUUUAUUGGGCGUAAAGGGUGCGUAGGCGGUCUGACAAGUCUGAUGUGAAAAUCUAUGGGCUCAACCCAUAGUCUGCAUCGGAAACUGUCGGGCUUGAGUAUGGGAGAGGUGAGUGGAAUUCCUGGUGUAGCGGUGGAAUGCGCAGAUAUCAGGAGGAACACCAAUAGCGAAGGCAGCUCGCUGGGACGUUACUGAACACUGGAGGCGCGAAAAGCGUGGGGAGCGAACAGG